GCGAGUAUAGCUCAGUUGGUAGAGCGCGACCUUGCCAAGGUCGAGGUCACGAGUUCGAGCCUCGUUACUCGCU
rfam:Pseudoalteromonas citrea DSM 8771 strain NCIMB 1889 contig144, whole genome shotgun sequence.